GGCUAAAUCACUCAAGUGCUGCUGGUCAUCCAAUGCCUUCCUUCCCGUGUGCCCGGAAGGACAGACAAGUUCUCCCACAAUUCACUGGGGAAGAAUCAUAGAGCAGCUCAACUUACUGCAGCCCAAAGAGCCAUGGGCUGAGCCAUCCGAAGGCCUAGCACCACACACAGGAGGCUACAUAGGGCAAAAACCAAUAGUAUUUCUCAAAAACUGAUUGUAAAAGCAGAUGAAUGUCGGUGGUGCUGUCAAAGUGGCAAAGGGACGAGCAGUUGCUGCUUACUUGAAUGGGAGUCUGCUUGGAUUAUCUGUGGUCAGAAAAUAAGGUGGAUCAGCUGACCUGUGGCCUCUUGAUUUAUUACUGGAGAGCACAUGAGAAACGGAGGACAGGUUUUAUACAGUGAACAGGAGUAACAAGCAAUAUUUAUGGCAGGACACAGGGACACCACCUGUGCAUCAGAAUGCAUCCUGACAACUUCUCUGCAUUGUCCUGAAUCGCUGUGAACUGAGUGUGCUGAAAUUUACAACACCAAAAAAUAGCCUUUCCCGUGGAGCAAUCCUACGGUGGAUGAACCCCAGUUAUCCUAAGGUCUGUGGGAUACCUGGAACUUUUGGGAAACUGCGGGAGUCAGGCCAGCAGGAUCCCCUGGCCACAGACGUCAAAGCCUGCUGGCAGCGUCUUAGAUGAUAGAGUCAUCUGGCUUCCUCAGCAGAAUUCCAGGGAAAGAACUAGACCUGAGAUCCAGCACUGAAGCUGAGGCCCUUCUGAAUCGUGCCAAGUCAGCUAUGCCAGUAAUCAAAGCUUCACACAUGUGAAAUCACCUUAUAAUGAAAAUCGGCUCAUGUCCCUAACAGUACUAGGGGAUGGUCCUGUUUUGGAUAAGAGUUUCCUUUAUGGUCAGUGAUGUUAGGCUAAUUGAGAUUGCCCUGUACCAACUUAAUUAACUCUACAACUAGCGAAUUUUGCCUCUCGCUUUGAUUCACUUCUCCAUCCUCUCUCUCCUUCCCCUGGCUUUCUCUUUAGAUGAUCUUGCUUCACUUGUUAAUUCUAUAGUAACUAUUAUUAAUGCCUUGAUUUCUAGUCCUUCACUUGGCUAUGCCCUUCCCUGUCAGCACCUCUUCCUAGUGCUUCAUUGUCUACCUUUUUCCUUCCUUUUCCAUUGGACGCCAUUAGGUUUCCAACUUCUUCAGUCCUUCGCAUGUGCACCCAUUGUCCCCUUACUUGUUUCUUGCGCCGAUCCAGGGUUUCAAAUGUGAUCUCUAUAUGCACAACUUCUGCAUGUGAAACACCUGAGUGUGCUGUUUUGGGGGACUGUCACACUUGUGCACGAGAUACAGAAUUCACACAUCUGUUUGAGCAAGGAGGUGUCACAUGCGGAGGCUGAGAUUUUCAGAGGGGAAUGUGCUCCCAAUAUCCGUUAAAAUGGAUGGGAAUUGGGAAGCCAAAUCACCUAUGUCAUUUUGAAAAGCUCAGCCAUACAUGCUGGUUUCACGGGAGGUGCAGGCGAUAGCAUUUAAGAUUUGCAGAAACAAAGCUGUCCACCUACAGAGGCUGAGGGUAGCCUUUUUAAAAAAAUUUCACUUCCAUAUGUCAAGUUUCAAGUCGCAAUCUGGGGUUCCAUCCUUCUGUAGCCAGUCUAAGAUGGCAUCUACUCUGGGUGACCCUUGGCUAUUAGCAAAACCAUAUUCCUUUCCAAAUGCCAGUUUCCGCUAGCAAAUGUUCUUUCCUGACCCUAGAUAUUCAUAGAAAAUAUGUCCUUUUUAAGAUGUAAGUGGCUUUCCCCUCCCCUUACACUAAUGUCCUUGAACAUCAUCUUUAUAAUGGGUCUUCAACAUGUUAAUGGUUCCUUCCAGAUAAAUGUCUCCUGCUAAUAGCAAGAAAUUAUUUGGACAAAGUAUAUCCAGUCAAAAUUCUUUUGAGAAGAGAUUGGGUAUAUUUUGGAAUCGGACAGGCUCAUAGAUUUAACACACAACUAUAAAUCAGACAUCCAGAUACACAAGGUAAAAUUAAUAUUGAACAGGAUGGACACCUUUCUAUGAUACAGGCGUGUCAUGCUUCUGGACAACAUGGGCAACUCGUAUCUGGCUUUGACUGUAGUUUUCACCUUUGAUAUUGAAACUCAGACUUUUUUUUCUUUUCUAGCCCAUAUUCCUUCCAUAAUCUCUCUGUCUGCUAUUUCACUAGGGGGCCAAACACUUUCUUAAAAUUAACCUAGAAAAAACAGACUUUCUUUAUAUUUUCCUCCUCCUCCUCUCUCUCUCCCCAUCUUUCUCUGGCUUCUGCCUGUCAAUAUCAAAACAGAUUCCUUUAAACUGAUUCCUGUAACUUCUACCUGCAAUCUUUGGCCUCUCACUAUAUUUACUACCUGUGCAUCUCAUCUUGUCAGUUUCAACUUCUUCAUAUUUGCAGAAUUCACCCUUCUUCUUUUUCUCCAAUAAGGUACUUGUCAUCUCCCAUCUCUGACUGUCUCCUGUCUGGACUUCUAUAAUUCUCCUGGUUGUUCUGUUUGCUUCUUCUCUUAAAUUAUCCCAGCACGUUCACAAUAAGGAUGGAGUACUUAUUUAUCAAACUGCUUGUCUCUGCAACGUGUUCCCUCCACCCCCAUCCCACACACACUCCUUCGUCAGCCCCACUGGCUCCCAGGUGAUCUUUGAAUUGUUUAAGAUCCUACUUCUGUCCUCCACAUCACUGGGCUGAUAUGGUUUCCUAUCACAAAUGUAUUUAUCUGUUUUCCUCUCAUGCUCUCCGUUCUUAAACUAGUGUCGCCUUUGGUACAUUCCUAUUCCCUUUGUGCUCUUUGUGCCUUUUCUACUCUUUUGCUCAUCAGUAGACCUGGGGCUUCUAAGCCACCUUCAUACAACUAUCUUCCUUCAAAUCUCUCCUAAAAACUCUUUAACAAACAUUUUCUAUCCAUUCCUUAUUUCUCAUGCUUCUCUCCCCUGUGCAAAUCCAGUGCUGAGCACUCUUAUCAGAUGUGUAGUUUCCCCAGCCCCCCAAAACUCCCACUGGAGUCAGAAUCCCUGAAUCUCUUACUUUAUAGUGUCUCUUCUUACCUAAUCCCUUUCUUUUCCCAUCCUCCUCCCCCUUUUUUUUUUUUUUUUUUUACAAAGGACUAUUUAUUGUAACACUAUUUAAUUGUAAAAAUGCCCUAAUGAAAGGCAUUCUUGUUAAAUAAAACAUAAGCAAUAAAAUAAAUUCUGCUAUGUAACAUUUCUUCAGGCUUGUCCAUUAUUUCAAGCGAGCUCUUUCCACAACUGUUUUAAGAGGUUCAGACUGGAUUCAGACAGUCUAGGGAUUUCAGAAAUCAUUUCCUUGCAUUUAGUGCCUUUCUAAGCUUCCAGUCUGUCUGUAGGUUUCUGUCCUGGGUUUUCCUUUGCAGUCUACUCCCAUCUGUAGGGUUAUUUAAAUGUGGCUACUAUGCCUUAUCCCAUUUCCUCAAUAAGGAAUGUUUUGUAUUAAGUAGAAAAAGUGCCUUGACCAAGCCCUAUAGAACCAGAAAUGAUUUCCACUGGGCCUUGAUCCAAGAGCUUUCAAUCCUAAACCACCCUGCCCUUUAGAGAGCUCUGGCUGUCGUUUUAAAUAUUUUCACCUUACGUGAAGGAAGUAGCCAGACCAGCUCUUAUGAUUGCGCUGAAUGACACCCGGCCAGUUUCUACAGGAGUCUUCUCAGAUGCAACACGUACAUGAUGGGCCAGUGGCUGAAUA